rnacentral:lncRNA from 1 species
AAGUUCCGUCGACUGCCCUUUGCUCCGAGUAAUUUUUGGCAAUUUUUUUUAGUGAAUUUUUCCGGUGGAGUCCUAGUGGUGCUAUACUCUCAGACAGGUUAUCCCAUCUCUCCGACUAGAUUGAUGAAAUCAGGUAUC